rnacentral:rRNA from 1 species
UACGUAGGGUGCGAGCGUUGUCCGGAAUUAUUGGGCGUAAAGAGCUCGUAGGCGGUGUGUCGCGUCGGCCGUGAAAACUUGGGGCUCAACUCUGGGCGUGCGGUCGAUACGGGCAUCACUUGAGUUCGGCAGGGGAGACUGGAAUUCCUGGUGUAGCGGUGAAAUGCGCAGAUAUCAGGAGGAACACCGGUGGCGAAGGCGGGUCUCUGGGCCGAUACUGACGCUGAGGAGCGAAAGCAUGGGUAGCGAACAGG